rnacentral:miRNA from 1 species
AUACUCAGGUUGGGGGCUAAU